CUUAUAAAAAGGUAGCUACCGAUCUCGAAAUCAUCAUUCGCACUUGUCUCCCUUCUAUUGGAACUACCUGUGGAUUCCUUAAUUUCAAGCUCCGCUUUCGUAAAAUCUUAAACUCUCUUAAGAUGAAGUUCUGCUUGCUUGCUCUUCUCUUGUUGGUCGGUGUGCUGGCCGUUCUGACCGGGUUGUCUUGGGGAAUGCCCCACCAUCACGACAAUAACAGGCGAGAGGUUGUUGAGAUGUUGGCAGCUGGCUUGGUUGCCAAACUGCUGUCCGAAAUGCACGGAUAAAUCAAUCCGAUUCGGUGGUUGAUAAAAAGUGAUUAAUAAAAUAACAGUGAAAAUGGUGAGCUGCAAAUCACUUGUUACUUUACUGCUAGUGGCCUGUCUAUUGGGUACCUGCCUAUCUGUGCCCCAUUCCGACUAUGGUGGUAUGUUUGGCGGCGGUGGUGGAGGCGGAAAACACGGCGGCGGAUCCCGAAUUGUGGAGAUGUUGGCUGCAGGACUCGUCGCCAAAAUGCUGAGUGAGAUGCACGGCCACCACGGUUGUCAUCACCAUGGCGGUUAAAUCAUAAUCACUGGUUUUUUUUUAAUACUGUUUUUAUCGCCACACUUCUUGUAUAUAGCCAAUGUAUCAUAUCUCAUAUUC